rnacentral:lncRNA from 1 species
CUUUGCUCUUUCCUUCCUUUGUUGAAUUCACCUGGCAAAGCCCUAGUUAAAUCCAACUCCCCACCUGCUGGUAAUUCUGCAUGUCCCUAGUACAUUUGUUUUCCCAUUCCCAAGACAACUAUUUCACAUCUUUUUCUCUUUAAAUCUUCAACAUCCCUUCAGGCCCCUUUCUGUUUGCUUUCCAAGACACACUACAAUAACCCUAAGACUUUAUAUAUUUCCCCCAAAUAUGUAUUUUCCCAUUUUAGGGGAGGGCGCCGGCAGCCAGCCGUUAAUUAGCAUACUUCCCAUGCUCAUCAUGAAGUCACGGGCUAAUCUGGCACACACGGUUCGGAACGGGCAUAACACUGUUCAUUCUUCACUAAUGCCAUGGUACAAUUCAGACACUCCUAAUGCUUUCCUUUCUCCCUACCAAGGAGGCAGGUUUAAAAGGUGUGGUUUAAAAUAUUAUCUUACCUGUUCAAGGACAGAAAAUUUGAAAUUCCAUACCCUCAUCAUUUUCUGAUGGUGAAACUUACCUCCAUCACUUCUCCCUGCACAGGAGGGUUGGAAUACUGUGGUCGACGCCCAUAGGGUCUCCGCAUGUAGUAAGGUGGGAACCUUCGCCUGCGGUAGGGCCGGCGUUGUUGGGCCUGGCCUUCGGGAGCACUCUCCGAUCCCUCGUUCUUUUCCCCACUCUCACUAUUCUGGUAAUUUUGCUGGUAAUUGCGUGGAGGACCCCUAC